UUUUUUUUUUCCAGGAAUUGAACCCAAAGGUACUUUCCCACAGAGCUACAUCCCCAGCUCCCCCCUUCCCCUUUAAGGUAGGACGGUUACUAGGUUGCUUAGGGUCUUGCUAAAUAAAUUGCUGAGGCUGGCUUUGAACUGGCGCUUCUUCUACCUCAGCCUCCUGAGCUGCUCCGGGAUUACAGGUGUGCACCAUCCAUCAGUAGAGUUAUGGUCUUCCGCUGGAGGCAGUUUAAUUACAGUGUUUUUACUUUUUAGUAGCUAACCUGAUUGCACACGCUGUUACAACUUACUUCCUAAUUGUUAGUGUCUUUUUUUUUUUUAAGUGUCUUACUGGUCCAUGGUAGUACAGAACAGUGGGUUUCAUGGUGGCAUGUUUGUACAUGCAUGUAACAUAAUGUAUGAAGAGUUUUACUCCUCACUAACUCCCUUUACCCUCGGGUCCUCCCCUCUGAUCCUUUUCCUCUACCCUAAUAGUUUACCUUCUGCUUUCAUGAUGAUGUCUUUUUUUCCCCUGUAGCUUCCACAAAUCACAGAAAACAUUCGAUACUUGUCUUUGAGUCUGGCUUAUUUCACUUAAUGUGAUGUUCUCUAGGUUAAUCCGCAUUGUUGUAAAUGACAGGAUUUUUUCUCUUUUUUUGGUUGAAUAGAAAAUCCCAUUAUAUAUUUGUACCACAUUUUCUUUGUCCAGUCAUUUGAUGAAGGACACCUAGGAAAUUCUGAUUUGUGUUGUGAUGAACAUGGAUACACUAUUGUCACUAAAGUAUGCUGAUUAAAUGGAUAAAUACUGAGGAGUGGUACGUUUGGUUCAUAUGGUAGCUCUAUUUUUAUUUGAGGAACCUCUGCACUGAUUUCCAAAGUGGCUGUACUAAUUUACAUUAAGAACCCCUCCCCCCACUCAUUUAUAGUUAUUUGUAUUCCUGAUGGUUGCAUUCUGGCUGGAGUUACAUGGAAUCUCAGGGUAGGUCUGGUGUUGUGUCUCCUGACCCCUGGAGUACUCUACCACUUAUGUGGUGCUGAGAAUCAAACCCAGCGUCUCAUACUGAACCACAAACCCAGCCCUCCUCAGUCCUUUUUAAAUUUUGAAACAGGGCCUUCCUAAAUUGCGGAAGCUGGUCCUGCAUUUGUGGUCCUCCUGUUUUAGCUUCCCCAGUUGCUGGGAUUACAGGCUUGCACCACCUACUGGCUCAGUGUAGCUUUGAUUUGCAUUUCCCUGAUUUAACUAAAGGUUUUGAAUAUUUUUUUCAAGUAAGUGUUGGUCAUUUGUAUUGUUGAGGUGUCUGUUCAGUUCAUUUGCCCAUUUAUUGAAUAGGUUAUUAGUUUUUUGGUGUUGAGCUUUUUGAGUUUUUUAUAUUCUGGAUAUUAAUCCUCUGAAGAGUAGCUGCCAAAGACUUUCUCUUAUUCUAUAGGCUCUCUUUAAGCUGUUAGUUGUUUAGUAUCUUUUCAAAAGUGUGUUAUAAAUACAUGAAAAGAAUACUAUUUUUGGAGUAGUUGUGGAUUAUUUAGAAGUUAAAAAUAAUGCCUGCAAGCUUUUCUUUUGGUAUAACUGUUAGGGACCUCAAUUUGCUGAGGAGUAUAUAAAUAUAUUAAAUACUUGUUUUAUUAGAUAUUUAAUUAAAUGUGUUUCUUUCUCUUUUCCUGACUGAGAAAUUGGAGGAAGAGAUUUUUGCUCAGUUAUCUGGUAGAGUUUGGAAGAUGUGGUAUCAUGAAGAGAACAUAGAGGCUCUGGAGUUGGUGAUCAAAUCAGGACCCUCUGGGUUGGAAUCAGCCCCACUGUUUAUUGGCCCAGAGCCACACAGCUGAUUCAUCACAUGACCUUUUUAAAAUUCAGUUUCUUAGCUGUAAACUGAGAUGAAACCUGUCCUAUAAGACUAUGAUGAGAAUUAAAUGAAAGGGAUUCAUUAGAGUUCUCAGUAUAGUUCCUGAAAUAUAAUAACUGGCUCUAGUAAACCAUUGAUUUCUUUCCUCUUUCCAAUUUUGAGGGCUGGGUAUGUGGCCCAGUGGUAGAGUGCUUACCUAGCAUGUGUGAGGCCCUGAGUUCAAUUCCCCAGACCCCCCCAAAAAUAAAAUUGACCCAACUUUGAGGUACUUAUUAGUAUUUUUUUUUAUUUUAAAAGUUUUAAGUUUGCUUUUCAAUUUUUAAGUUAAAUCUUCACUUGGUGUCUUCUUUUUACAGGUUCUGUAUGACUUUAGACAUAAACAGACAUGCAGAAGGGAUGGUGGAGCAGAGGCCUGCAUGAGGAAGGAGUCAAGGACUAUGCAGGAUUUGAGUCUCUAAGAUAGUUUUUGGCCCCUGUCUCUGCCAAUUAUCUUUUUUUUUUUUUGGUCCGGGGGAGGUACUGGGGAUUGAACUCAGGGGCACUUGACCACUGAGCCACAUCCCCAGGCCUAAUUUGUAUUUUAUUUAGAGACAGUGUCUCACCGAGUUGCUUAGUGCCUCAUCUUUGCUAAAGCUGGCUUUGAACUUGCAAUUCUCCUGCCUCAGCCUCUCGAGCUGCUGGGAUUACAAGCGAUUAUAGGUGUGCACCACCACACCUGGCCCCUGCCAGUUAUCUUUUACUCCUUUCUGUGUGUUAUCACUCUUGUGGAAUGAGACUUGCCUCAUCAGAUGUAACUAACCUUAACUGCAGUGAAAUAUACAGUGGGCGUUGAUGAUGAUGAUGAUGUUACAAUUGUUAACACCACUUGGAGUUUCACAUGGCUGGUUGUUUAAGGGAUGAAUUUGGGGUCACAUUUUAAAUUCCACAAUCACAUGAAUGCGGUUGGAGUUUAUUUUUUCGUCUGGAGGAGACCCGUUGAAGGCUCCUAGUGGUUUGCUGCUCUUGAAGCAUGGUG
rnacentral:lncRNA from 1 species